GCUUAUGGAUGAGCAAAGAAAGUGUUUUCUUGAGAUGGAAUCUACUACUGGUGAAGAUGCUGUGAA
rnacentral:pre_miRNA from 2 species